GACGAACGCUGGCGGCGUGCCUAAUACAUGCAAGUCGAACGAGAGCGACCGGUGCUUGCACUGGUCAAUCUAGUGGCGAACGGGUGAGUAACACGUGGGUAACCUGCCCAUCAGAGGGGGAUAACAUCCGGAAACGGAUGCUAAAACCGCAUAGGUCUUCGAACCGCAUGGUUUGAAGAGGAAAAGAGGCGCAAGCUUCUGCUGAUGGAUGGACCCGCGGUGCAUUAGCUAGUUGGUGAGGUAACGGCUCACCAAGGCCGUGAUGCAUAGCCGACCUGAGAGGGUGAUCGGCCACAUUGGGGCUGAGACACGGCCCAAACUCCUACGGGAGGCAGCAGUAGGGAAUCUUCCGCAAUGGACGCAAGUCUGACGGAGCAACGCCGCGUGAGUGAAGAAGGUUUUCGGAUCGUAAAACUCUGUUGUUAGAGAAGAACAAGUGCUAGAGUAACUGUUAGCGCCUUGACGGUAUCUAACCAGAAAGCCACGGCUAACUACGUG
rnacentral:rRNA from 1 species